rnacentral:rRNA from 1 species
CGCGUAGGCGGAUCGUUAAGUCAGAGGUGAAAUCCCGGAGCUCAACUUCGGAACUGCCUUUGAUACUGGCGAUCUUGAGUAUGAGAGAGGUAUGUGGAACUCCGAGUGUAGAGGUGAAAUUCGUAGAUAUUCGGAAGAACACCAGUGGCGAAGGCGACAUACUGGCUCAUUACUGACGCUGAGGCGCGAAAGCGUGGGGAGCAAACA